rnacentral:rRNA from 1 species
CAGUCGCCGCGGUAAUACGGAGGUGGCUAGCGUUGUUCGGAAUUACUGGGCGUAAGGCGCACGUAGGCGGCUUGGUAAGUUAGAGGUGAAAGCCUGGAGCUCAACUCCAGAAUUGCCUUUAAGACUGCCGAGCUAGCAGGUGAGAGAGGUAAGUGGAAUUCCGAGUGUAGAGGUGAAAUUCGUAGAUAUUCGGAAGAACACCAGUGGCGAAGGCGGCUUACUGGCUCAUACUGGACGCUGAGGUGCGAAAGCGUGGGGAGCAAACAGGAUUAGAUACCCCGGUAGUCCCUGUCUCUUAUAA